GGCGGCGUAACUCAGUUGGUAGAGUACGAGAUUCAUAUCCUCGCUGUCAUUGGUUCAAUCCCAAUCGCCGCUA
rnacentral:tRNA from 1 species